GAUGAACGCUGGCGGCGUGCCUAAUACAUGCCAGUCGAGCGAACGGACGAGAAGCUUGCUUCUCUGAUGUUAGCGGCGGACGGGUGAGUAACACGUGGAUAACCUACCUAUAAGACUGGGAUAACUUCGGGAAACCGGAGCUAAUACCGGAUAAUAUUUUGAACCGCAUGGUUCAAAAGUGAAAGACGGUCUUGCUGUCACUUAUAGAUGGAUCCGCGCUGCAUUAGCUAGUUGGUAAGGUAACGGCUUACCAAGGCAACGAUGCAUAGCCGACCUGAGAGGGUGAGCGGCCACACUGGAACUGAGACACGGUCCAGACUCCUACGGGAGGCAGCAGUAGGGAAUCUUCCGCAAUGGGCGAAAGCCUGACGGAGCAACGCCGCGUGAGUGAUGAAGGUCUUCGGAUCGUAAAACUCUGUUAUUAGGGAAGAACAUAUGUGUAAGUAACUGUGCACAUCUUGACGGUACCUAAUCAGAAAGCCACGGCUAACUACGU
rnacentral:rRNA from 1 species